UGGCCUAUGAGGAGAUCAUUAAAAAAUUACCAUCUUUCGGGACUGAAUGGCUUGUUAAGCCCUGCUGACAUUCUGCAAUUCUGAGGCCU
rfam:Citrus clementina cultivar Clemenules unplaced genomic scaffold scaffold_5, whole genome shotgun sequence.